GUGAGGAAUAUUGGUCAAUAGCCUAACGGCUGAACCAGCAACUUGGAGGAAUGUAUAGCGAAAGCUACUUGCAUUUAGCUUAGUUAAUAAAUGCAGGAUUGACUAUGUCGAAUAAAGUUCUAGGUGGGUUAUGAUGAUGACAUUUCCUAUCUAUGUGUCUUGACCAAACUACGUGCCAGCAGUCGCGGUAACACGUAAUAGACUAGUGUUAUUCAUCUUUAAUAGGUUUAAAGGGUACCUAGACGGUAAAUCAAGUCCAAGAAGGGUACUAAUUUGCUAGAGUUUAAUGUGAGGGGGCACUAAAGUACUGAUAAGUGUAGAGAUGAAAUUCUGUGAUACAAUAUACGGCACUGGCAAAGGCGAAAGCAUCUCAUUAUGUAAUAACUGACGUUGAGGGACGAAGGCUAGGUGUAGCAAAAAGGAUUAGAUACCCAAGUAGUCUUAGCAGAAAAUUAUGAAUGUCAUAGGAUGGAGAAACAACAAAUUUUUUUUCUAUAAAUGAAAGUGUAAGCAUUCCACCUCGAGAGUAAUUUGGCAACAUUGGAACUGAAAUCAUUAGACCGUUUCUGAAACAAGUAGUGAAGUAUGUUGUUUAAUUUGAUGGUCCGCAAAAAACCUUACCACAAUUUGAAUAGAAAUUUUUUUUUCGUACAAGCGCUGCACGGUUGUCUUCAGUUAAUGUCGUGAGAUCUUGGUUAGUUCCAUUAAAUUAACGUAAACCCUUACUUUAUUUUGAUAUAGAGUAGUUCACCGCUAGAUUGGAUGUGAUAACAGGGACUAAGACAAGUCAUCAUGGCCUUAAUAUUGUGGGCUAUAGACGUGC
rnacentral:rRNA from 1 species